rnacentral:rRNA from 1 species
GUUGAACGCUGGCGGCAUGCCUUACACAUGCAAGUCGAACGGCAGCACGGGUGCUUGCACCUGGUGGCGAGUGGCGAACGGGUGAGUAAUACAUCGGAACGUACCUUAUCGUGGGGGAUAACGCAGCGAAAGCUGUGCUAAUACCGCAUACGCCCUGAGGGGGAAAGCGGGGGAUCGAAAGACCUCGCGCGAUUAGAGCGGCCGAUGCCUGAUUAGCCUGUUGGUGGGGUAAAAGCCCACCAAGGCGACGAUCAGUAGCUGGUCUGAGAGGACGAUCAGCCACACUGGGACUGAGACACGGCCCAGACUCCUACGGGAGGCAGCAGUGGGGAAUUUUGGACAAUGGGGGCAACCCUGAUCCAGCAAUGCCGCGUGAGUGAAGAAGGCCUUCGGGUUGUAAAGCUCUUUUGUCAGGGAAGAAACACCGGCUCUAACACAGUCCGGGAAUGACGGUACCUGAAGAAUAAGCACCGGCUAACUACGUGCCAGCAGCCGCAGUAA